rnacentral:rRNA from 1 species
AGGGGUUUGAUCCUGGCUCAGGACGAACGUUGGCGGUGCGCUUAAUGCAUGCAAGUCGAGGGAGAACCAUUCGAUCCGUAAGGACUGGAUGGGGAAACCGGCGAACGGGUGCGUAACACGUGAGGAACCUGCCCCGAAGACCGGGAUAGCCCGAGGAAACUCGGAUUAAUACCGGAUACCCUCUUUGGACCACAUGGUCCGCUGAGGAAAUGGUCCGCCGCUUCGGGAUGGCCUCGCGGCCUAUCAGCUUGUUGGUGAGGUAACGGCUCACCAAGGCAAAGACGGGUAGCUGGUCUGAGAGGACGAUCAGCCACACUGGGACUGAGACACGGCCCAGACUCCUACGGGAGGCAGCAGCAGGGAAUAUUGCACAAUGGGCGAAAGCCUGAUGCAGCGACACCGCGUGCGGGAUGAAGGCCCUCGGGUUGUAAACCGCUUUCAGGAGGGACGAAAAUGACGGUACCUCCAGAAGAAGGCCCGGCCAACUACGUGCCAGCAGCCGCGGUAAUACGUAGGGGCCAAACGUUGUCCGGAUUUAUUGGGCGUAAAGGGCUCGUAGGCGGUUCAACAAGUCGAUCGUGAAAGCCCGGGGCUCAACCCCGGGACGCCGGUCGAAACUGUUGUGACUAGGGUCCGGUAGAGGUGAGUGGAAUUCUCGGUGUAGCGGUGGAAUGCGCAGAUCUCGAGAGGAACACCAGUUGCGAAGGCGGCUCACUGGGGCGG